AUCGCUAUUAGAUGAGCCUAUGUUAGAUUAGCUAGUUGGUAAGGUAAUAGCUUACCAAGGCUAUGAUCUAUAGCUGGUCUGAGAGGACGAUCAGCCACACUGGAACUGAGAUACGGUCCAGACUCCUACGGGAGGCAGCAGUGGGGAAUAUUGGACAAUGGGCGCAAGCCUGAUCCAGCUAUGCCGCAUGAGUGAAGAAGGCCUUAGGGUUGUAAAGCUCUUUCAGUAGGGAAGA
rnacentral:rRNA from 1 species